GUGAUCACUUCAGCAGCACAAUACAAAAAUUGAAAUGAUACAGAGAAGAUUAGCAUGGCCCCUGUGCAAGGAUGACAUGAAAUUCAUGAAGUGUUCCAUAUUUUA